rnacentral:rRNA from 1 species
GACGAACGCUGGCGGCGUGCUUAACACAUGCAAGUCGAACGGAAAGGCCCUGCUUUUGUGGGGUGCUCGAGUGGCGAACGGGUGAGUAACACGUGAGUAACCUGCCCUUGACUUUGGGAUAACUUCAGGAAACUGGGGCUAAUACCGGAUAGGAGCUCCUGCUGCAUGGUGGGGGUUGGAAAGUUUCGGCGGUUGGGGAUGGACUCGCGGCCUUUCAGCUUGUUGGUGGGGUAGUGGCUUCCCACGGCUUUGACGGGUAGCCGGCCUGAGAGGGUGACCGGCCACAUUGGGACUGAGAUACGGCCCAGACUCCUACGGGAGGCAGCAGUGGGGAAUAUUGCACAAUGGGCGGAAGCCUGAUGCAGCAACGCCGCGUGCGGGAUGACGGCCUUCUGGUUGUAAACCGCUUUCGCCUGUGACGAAGCGUGAGUGACGGUAAUGGGUAAAGAAGCACCGGCUAACUACGUG